rnacentral:rRNA from 1 species
UACGUAGGGUGCGAGCGUUGUCCGGAAUUAUUGGGCGUAAAGAGCUCGUAGGCGGUUUGUUGCGUCGGCUGUGAAAACCUGAGGCUCAACCUCAGGCCUGCAGUCGAUACGAGCAGACUAGAGUGUUGCAGGGGAGACGUGGAAUUCCUGGAUGUAGCGGUGAAAUGCGCAGAUAUCAGGAGGAACACCGGUGGCGAAGGCGGGUCUCUGGGCAACAACUGACGCUGAGGAGCGAAAGUGUGGGGAGCGAACAGG